rnacentral:miRNA from 1 species
CUUGCAAGUGAUGGGAUUGUC